UACGAAGGGUGCAAACGUUGCUCGGAAUCAUUGGGCGUAAAGCGCACGUAGGCGGCUUCGCAAGUCGGAUGUGAAAUCCCUCGGCUCAACCGAGGACGUGCAUACGAAACUGCGAAGCUUGAGUACUGAAGAGGAUCGCGGAAUUCCCGGUGUAGAGGUGAAAUUCGUAGAUAUCGGGAGGAACACCAGUGGCGAAGGCGGCGACCUGGGCCAAUACUGACGCUGAGGUGCGAAAGCGUGGGGAGCAAACAGG
rnacentral:rRNA from 1 species